rnacentral:lncRNA from 1 species
GACAGGAGGAGGGGAAGAACAGACACUGGGGCCUAUUGGAGGGUGGAGAGGGAAGGAGAGAGAAGAUCAGAAAAAUAACUAUUGGGUAUUAGGCUUAAUAUUUGAGUGACAAAAUAAUCUGUACAACAAAUCCCCAUGACACAAGUUUACCUAUAGAAUAGACCUGCACAUAUACCCCUGAACCUAAAAGUUUUUUUAAAAAAAAUGGGCAAAAGACCUCAAGCUGGAAGCCAUCAUUCUCAGCAAACUAACACAGAAACAGAAAACCAAAUACCCCAUGUUCUCACUCAUAAGUGGGAGUUGAACAGUGAGAACACAUGGGCACAGAGAGGGGAACAUCACAUACUGGGGCAUGUCAGUGGGUGGGGGCCAAGGAGAGGGAGAGCAUUAGGACAAAUAUCUAAUGCAUGCAGGGCUUAAAACCUAGGUUGAUAGGUGCAGCAAACCACCAUGGCACAUGUAUACCUGUGUAACAUUUACAUAGACAUUUCUCAAGGGAAGACAUAAAGGACACAUUUUAAAAGCCCUAAUAAAAUUAUUAGUUCAGCUUCCAGUUAUUCCUUAUUAUUGGUCUUGCUUUAACCUUGUACCCAGGUUUCUACAACUAGGCCACCUCCUUGCUUUCUAGUUUCAACAAAUAAGCCCGUCUUAUCCUGCUCUGUUAACAUGAUAGAGUGGGUUUUUUACCAC